rnacentral:rRNA from 1 species
UAGCGUAGGGACCAAGCGUUGUUCGGAUUUACUGGGCGUAAAGGGCGCGUAGGCGGCGUGGUAAGUCACUUGUGAAACUCUCUGAGCUUAACUCAGAACGGCCAAGUGAUAACUGCUGUGCUAGGAGUGCAGAAGGGGCAAUCGGAAUUCUUGGUGUAGCGGUGAAAUGCGUAGAUAUCAAGAGGAACACCUGAGGUGAAGACGGGUUGCUGGGCUGACACUGACGUGGAGACGCGAAAGCGUGGGGAGCAAACAGG